rnacentral:rRNA from 1 species
UACGGGGGGAGCAAGCGUUGUUCGGAUUUACUGGGCGUAAAGGGCGCGUAGGCGGCCACUGCAGUUCGGUUGUGAAAUCUCCGGGCUUAACCCGGAAAGGUCAACCGAUACUGCAGGGCUAGAGUGCAGAAGGGGCAACUGGAAUUCUCGGUGUAGCGGUGAAAUGCGUAGAUAUCGAGAGGAACACCUGCGGCGAAGGCGGGUUGCUGGGCUGACACUGACGCUGAUGCGCGAAAGCCAGGGGAGCGAACGGG